CUUUUUUUUUCUUAAUUGACAUUCAGAUCACUGUAAGACACUGGAAAGGUGGUAAUAGCAGAUGGUCAGUGGGCGAAGUGUGAUGGGAAUCUGAAAAACUUUUGCCACUCCACUGAAGGAUAAGGGCAGAGCAAUGAUCAGCAAGGUGUAAGGCAACUGGAUAUUGCCACAAAAAUCCUCCACAGAGAAAGCACAAAAGGACGCCACCCCUGCACUCUGCUAGCAAGCUAUGCUGAACUAGCAGGUGUUUCUCCUAAGGACCACAGACCAGCUGACCCCCUCCAGGUAGCUCAUAAGAGGGGAGAGGAGAGCAGACCACCUCCACAUGGGAAAGCAAGCAGGAGUGCAGCAGCUUCAGAUGAUAACAGACUCCCUUCUAGCCCUGA